ACUCAAAUGAAUUGACGGGGACCCGCACAAGCGGUGGAGCGUGUUGUUUAAUUCGACGGUAAACGAAGAACCUUACCCAGGCUUGACAUCCUGCCAAGCUUUGCGAAAGCAAAGUGUGCCUUCGGGCCGCAGUGACAGGUGAUGCAUGGCCGUCGUCAGCUCGUGUCGUGAGAUGUUUGGUUAAGUCCAUCAACGAGCGCAACCCUUAUAGUCUGUUGAAUUUUUCAGGCUAGACUGCCCCGGUAACGGGGAGGAAGGAGGGGAUGAUGUCAGGUCAUUAUUUCCCUUACGUCUGGGGCUACAAACACGCUACAAUGGCCGGUACAAAGGGCAGCCAAGCAGCAAUGCGGAGCAAAUCCCAUCAAAGCCGGUCUCAGUUCGGAUUGUAGGCUGAAACUCGCCUGCAUGAAGCUGGAAUCGCUAGUAACGGUAGGUCAGCUAUACUACCGUGAAUACGUUCCCGGGUCUUGUACACACCGCCCGU
rnacentral:rRNA from 1 species